ACCUGGGAGCCACACUCCAGUGCCCAGCCCAGUGCCUUCCACCAGCCCUCACCUUGGAGCACAAAUAGUGGUAUGUACCCCUUUAUCACAUCCUGUGUCCUCAUGGGAACCCCUCCUUUCUGCUUGGUGUUCAGCACCUAUCUUUCUCCUAAAAGGAAGAAAUAAUUUUGGAAUCUGACAAACCAGAUUGAGUUGACUCAAUUCUAGAAGCUCCUCACUCUCCUAGUUCCCACAUUUGACUACAGAAUGAGAAGGCUCUCUCGGCUUUCAACCCAUUGCUGACUGUCAAACCUACAAGAUCUCGUUGUCCCAAAUGCCAGUCCUACCAUGCCCUGAUCCUGCCAGGAGAGAGACCUAAUGGCUGUGGGUGCUGUUGGAUCGAAGACCUCAGUGGUGACCUCCGACACGUCACCUCAGCCCUCACCUGCAGCGAAUUCCCACUGGUGGUGACCUACACAGUGCCUGUUUCAGUGAUUUGUCCACGAGGUCAGGCACGCCUUCUCCUUCACUAGGGACAGCCAGCAGGUGCCUGGACGCUUGAUGCCUUUGCCUUCAUCAGGGACGGUCGGCAGGAGCCUGAACGCUCGGCAUCUUUGACUUCUCCAAGGACAGCCAGCAGGCGCCUGGACUCCCAGUGCCUUUGACUUCUCCAGGGACGGCCAGCAGGUGCCUGGACUCUCGGUGCCUUUGACUUCUCCAGGGACGGCCAGCAGGCACCUGGACGCUCAGCAUCUUUGACUUCUCCAGGGACGGCCAGCAGGUGCCUGGACUCUCGGUGCCUUUGACUUCUCCAGGGACGGCCAGCAGGCACCUGGACGCUCAGCAUCUUUGACUUCUCCAGGGACGGCCAGCAGGUGCCUGGACUCUCGGUGCCUUUGACUUCUCCAGGGAUGGCCAGCAGGCGAUUGGACGCUCGGUGUUUUGACUUCUCCAGGGACGGCCAGCAGGUGCCUGGACUCCCGGUGCCUUUGACUUCUCCAGGGACGGCCGCUCCAGCACUUCAUUGUGAAGGCAAACCUAGACGAUGUUACCUUGCUUCCAGGUUUCCAUUUCUGCAGGCGUGGGUGAGCUGCUCUGCUCCCUCACAGACUGGAUAUGAGGACAGUGUACACAUUUUUUUUUUUUUUUACAGGCAGAGUGGACAGAGAGAGAGAGAGAGAGAAAGGUCUUCCUUUGCCGUUGGUUCACCCUCCAAUGGCUGGUGCACUGCGCUGAUCCGAAGGCAGGAGCCAGGUACUUAUCCUGGUCUCCCAUGGGGUGCAGGGCCCAAGCACCUGGGCCAUCCUCCACUGCACUCCCGGGCCACAGCAGAGAGCUGGCCUGGAAGAGGGGCAACUGACAGAAUCCGGCGCCCUGACCGGGACUAG
rnacentral:lncRNA from 1 species